rnacentral:rRNA from 1 species
CCUACGGGAGGCAGCAGUGGGGGAUAUUGGACAAUGGGGGGAACCCUGAUCCAGCGACGCCGCGUGAGUGAAGAAGUAUCUCGGUAUGUAAAGCUCUAUCAGCAGGGAAGAAGAAAUGACGGUACCUGAGUAAGAAGCCCCGGCUAACUACGUGCCAGCAGCCGCGGUAAUACGUAGGGGGCAAGCGUUAUCCGGAUUUACUGGGUGUAAAGGGAGCGUAGGUGGCAAGGCAAGUCAGAUGUGAAAACCCGGGGCCCAACCCCGGGAGUGCAUUUGAAACUGUCUGGCUAGAGUGCAGGAGAGGUAAGUGGAAUUCCUAGUGUAGCGGUGAAAUGCAUAGAUAUUAGGAGGAACACCAGUGGCGAAGGCGGCUUACUGGACUGUAACUGACACUGAGGCUCGAAAGCGUGGGGAGCAAACAGGAUUAGAUACCCUGGUAGUC